rnacentral:misc_RNA from 1 species
AAUUAUCAGAAUCGCACUUAGUGAUUUUGGACUGUGGGAUUGCUGGAGUUCUGUUGUGUGGAAAUCAAGCUCUCCUUAAAUAUAUUGGAAGAGUCAACAAUGUAUACUCUAUUGGUGUGAUAAGACAAAUGUUAUCACCAGAGUUGCUGUACGACUGCUUCUAUCUUAAAUGUCCUUUGGACAAAUUGACAAA